rnacentral:lncRNA from 1 species
CGAUUCUUGCCGGGGUGAUUUUUGGAACUGGGUGUAUCUUCAGAGUCAUAUAACAAUAUCUAUCAAAUUCACACAACAACACAUACUCCCCUACACUUAGCCCAAUAAUUUACGAAAUGCUUUUAAAAUUGCACUAUCGCCAAUUUCCCAUGAAUCUGUUCUUAAAAGCAGACCACUCUUGUAAAUUACACUAAUAACCAACAAACAACAGCAAACAAAAUUCGUUUAAAUCUCAACAUAUGGCUAUAUAUUGGCCAAUUCUAAUUUCCACUACCAAUCACUGUCAGAAAAAGUCCUACCCUAAAUUACAACAUCUCCCAGGAAUUCCUCCUUUCAAUUUUACGUCCAUUCUAUUCCACAACUUCAACACCAUGCCACGGAACUAAUUCUACCCACACAAACCCGAUUCGCACAACAAUAAAUUGAUAAUUUGGGGGAUGCAAUUCCCAUUGUAUCCACCACCAAUUCUAAGGUCAAGAAUGACGCCCAUAAAUAAUUAAUAAAUAAAAAUAACACAAUCAAAUAAUAAAGAUCAAACCUCGAUCAAACCCCAACUUGAAAAGAGAAAGAAAAAAAAUCGAUUAAAAAUAUAUAAGAAAUUGGACUCUGCAAAUUAAACAAUGGAAAAACGAAACAACUGGGGUGAUUUUUGUCCUACGAACAAAGGAGAGAAACAAUAGGAGGGACUGACAACCUCUGGCGUCAAGGAGCGAUGGUGACAACGAUUUUCGGAAUCAGGGCCUAAGGAGAUCGACGACGUGAUGGUGACGGUGGCCUUGACGGAUUAAUGAGUCACAGGAAGAAGGAAGUAAUUAGGUUUUCAUUUUUACACAAACAAAGUCAAAAAUGAUGUCGUUUAAUAGCUCAUUUAAAAUGGUAGGUGUCAUACAAUUAAAUAAUAUAACAUAAAAACCAUGUCAUAUAAAACUUGUACAAAACU